UAAUCAUAAGGUCAUGUCAGUGGAAAGGUAUGGAAAACAACAUGACCGUUUUUAAGAAUGGAUUCAGAAGAACUCGACAGGUUGGCAAGGGAAGAGCUCGUAAAUGAAGCAAAACGAGGAGCUGAGAGAUACGACACAUUGGGGCCGAUUGGCUGGCAGAAGCCGCGGUCAACCAACAAGGUGUUUUUCAGCAGAACUCUGAUGCAGGCUCUGCAAAGUCCUGCCGGAUAUCGCACCAAACGCACUCCCGCCGAUCGCACGGAAGAUAACACGGAUGUAGACGGCAACCAGAGCGACCACGGCAGCAGCAACAACAUUACGAGCGGGACCACCACAUCUCACCACCAUCGCACAGAAGCGAAAAACACGAAACGCCAGAAGACUCACUGAGAAAACCUUUUGAAACUCGAAACUUCACCGAAAACAACUUUCCUAGUGGCGAAACGCGAAGCUGACCUCUCGCAGACGACCCCUGACUUCUGACACGGUGUCUCACGCGAGAGCAGCUUCUGUCUGGAAUCUUGCACUGGUACUACCGCUGCGUGCGUGGUCUCUUUGCUUCCGCCUCGAGCGCGCGCGAUGGCGGGAACUGUGAUACGCGUAAAGCGCAAGCGAAAGUCCGACCCCGUCGAGAAACUCGUCGUGUCGUCGAAGCGACGCCGCCCUGGCGACGACCUCGGCGACGACCCUGACCACGACGACGACGGGCGGCGGCAGCGCAGGACGACUGUGUUCCAUCGCGUCGGCACGGUAACGGCGAGUGAGCAGCCUCUCUCGCGGCGCAUCCGCGAGGCCCUGCAACACGGCGUCGUCUCGCCGGGACAGCUGAAGCUGCAUCAGCCGCGCCCCCGCGACCUCGCACGCCGCGACGCCGACCUGCGUCGCCACGACGACCGCUACCAGCUGCUCGUCAGCCACCGCGGCAUCCCGCUUGACGACGUUGCCAAGGCGACGCCCGACGACGCGGCGGCGCGGGACGCGGAGGCUGCAACGCAGCAGGAGGCCGAGCGCAUCCUGUGUCUCUAUGAUGUCGUGCGCGACGGGAUGCGGGACGACGACGUUGCCGUGACGACGCGCGGGAAGCAGGAGGCGAUCGCGUGCAACGGCGUCGAGAUGUCGCGGGAGCCGGUUGCCGCGGCGACACCCGAUUACGUGUAUGACCUGUACUGCACGGGCAGCGGGGACGCCCCCGACAACGACGACGACGACGAUGACAUCAGCAUCGAGGCGUUUGACGAGAAUUACGUGCAGCAGUAUCCCGAGUGCGAAGCAUCCGCCGACGACGACGACGACGAUGAUAGCAACGACGAGAACAACUGGCGUAAUGACUACCCUGACUCAGACCCUGACGGCGGCAGCAGGGACGAGGAUGAGGAGGAUGAAGCCCUGCAGCUGUACGGUGACUACGCUGCUGCAGCAUCCAGCGACGCGGUGCCCGUGGAAGACUUCGCGAGGUUCACCAUGCAGCAAGAAGAGUCGGACGAUGAUGAUGAUGAUGAGACUCCUGGCUGGGCCGUCUGUAUCUGAGCGUGGCGCCCCCUGGCUGGGCCGUCUGUAUCUGAGCGUGGCGCCCCCUGGCUGGGCUGUCUGUAUCUGAGUGUGGCGCCCCCUGGCUGGGCCGUCUGUAUCUGAGAGUUUACAGUUUGUGCCACUAGAUGGCAGCCCAUCCUUGUUAUUUUACUGAGGAUAUUAAUGAGCAUGUGUAUAUGAAAAUAUAAUGAACUCCGUGUGCUGAAACCUUUUCCUUUGGGAUGUGUUUUUGGCAGGUAAUCUACUGAGUGUUUGCAGGUUGCGUCAUGCAUGCGCAUACUAGGUCUGUGGAUACAUGCUUGGGUACAUGCGGUAUGCAUGCAAAGUAGUGACCUGUUGGCCUGGUCUUUUGAUCUGUGAUACGCCUGCCUGGUGCAAUGUGGAGACUGAUUCAUCAAUGCUGUCAGGAGCUGUGUGAAAGCUUACCGAUCUGGUUACUGGCAACGGUGAUAUGCGUCAGGCCGGGUUGAUUGCUAAGCCACCGUCCACGAAUAUUUGCAGCACUUGGAUGUCUGUUGCUGAGUAACAAUUCUAUAUUAAUUAUUAUCUCUCGACCUUCGCCCACUGAUCUGAAAAUCUUCCACCUACGUAUCAGUGGCCGGAAAGUCGGCAAGUUAGAUGGUGGGGAGACAAAACAAAUAGCAGUCAGAGGUCUGAUGUACUCUGUCUGUGUAGUCUUCAUUGCAUUACGUGUGUAACGUGGCAAAAUAUACUCAUUGGUUCUGUCUGAGAUAUCAUCAGCGAGGAAUCGGAAUCAGACGAGUGAGAUCAAACAGUUGCUCGACUAUAGUGUGAGAGUGUGACUCUUAAACGCAAGUGAGAUUUAACUCUUUACUUGCGGUUCAUUUCACCGAUGUUUUACAGGUUCUAAAUCUCACACUGCGCCCGUGACUCUCACACGUCAUGUUAUAUAAUGCAGUGAGGGCUGAAGCAACCAGGCGUGGCCUUCUAGCAGGUUGAACUGUAUUACAAGAUUGAUUGCACAAUGCCUUGUUAGUCCUCCCCUGCAGCUAGGGAUUACAUACCAGCAGUGCUGGUGUUAUUGACUGCUGUAGUGUGCUGAGGUUUAGUCUUUUGUAAUGUUGAAAUCUGCUACUAUACGGUAUGCACAAGUUAUUUACAUGGGUUACACUCUUUGCUCUUUUUCUUGUUUGCUCCAUGGAUUUUGUGCAAUUAGUGACACCGAAUAUGAGUGUUAUAAGAAGGGCCGGUGUUAUAAGAAGGGCUCUUGUGUUGGAUAAAUUGUUCAGAGAUUAGUUUAUUAUUGCCACCAGGGGCUAAAAUUUGCGAACUCUAACCAGAGCACUUAAAUCAAAUAAAGAUCUCAAGAUCGAGAUUUAAGUGCUCUGCUCUAACACUGCAUCACAGAACGCCUUGCUUGAUGCUGGCACAUUACGCGUUCCUAUAUACAUUGUGGUAUAUAUCAUGUGCGUGUGACAGAAUCGUGUUGCGAUUCCGUGUGCUGCCCCCUGGUGCUUCUAAAUAUUUCAUUGAUUGCAGGAAAGCGCUUGAUAAGUGUAGCGCAUGAAUUAAUGAUAAGAGACUCAAUGUUUAGGACAAAGGAUGCGUACACUGUGCUUUCAUUAUUAAUAGCGGGCCAUAAAUAAAUCUCUCGCGAGCUUUUUAAUAACUAAGCAAAUGAGUCGCAUUUCUUACCGUUACCAAGUAGACUGUUUAUUGAACGUGUUUAUGAGCAUUCUUUGUGAUACUUGUACGUAGAUAUUACACGCCAUAUUACGCAGUCAAACAUUUAAACAACACCAGCUGUUCAGUCUCUAGAGACUAAGCAUUUUGCUACGAUGUGUUCACGCUUAAAUGUUAUAGAUAAUUUAUUAAUUUGGCACUGAUCGCUUUAAUUGUAGUCAGCUGUCUUAUCCGUCUUUACGCAUCAAGUGGGAAUUUAAUUUUCAAUUGGAAUUGUGUUCCGUGGUUCAACGCUUAUAACGUUUAUAAUAUAGACAACGUUAAAUAUAACUGAUUUAAUUUUAUACAA